AUGCACGCUGGCGGCGUGCCUAAUACAUGCAAGUCGAGCGAACAGACGAGGAGCUUGCUCCUCUGACGUUAGCGGCGGACGGGUGAGUAACACGUGGAUAACCUACCUAUAAGACUGGGAUAACUUCGGGAAACCGGAGCUAAUACCGGAUAAUAUAUUUAACCGCAUGGUUCAAUAGUGAAAGACGGUUUUGCUGUCACUUAUAGAUGGAUCCGCGCCGCAUUAGCUAGUUGGUAAGGUAACGGCUUACCAAGGCGACGAUGCGUAGCCGACCUGAGAGGGUGAUCGGCCACACUGGAACUGAGACACGGUCCAGACUCCUACGGGAGGCAGCAGUAGGGAAUCUUCCGCAAUGGGCGAAAGCCUGACGGAGCAACGCCGCGUGAGUGAUGAAGGUCUUCGGAUCGUAAAACUCUGUUAUUAGGGAAGAACAAAUGUGUAAGUAACUAUGCACGUCUUGACGGUACCUAAUCAGAAAGCCACGGCUAACUACGUG
rnacentral:rRNA from 1 species